AGUGAACGCUGGCGGUAGGCCUAACACAUGCAAGUCGAACGGCAGCACAGGAGAGCUUGCUCCCUGGGUGGCGAGUGGCGGACGGGUGAGGAAUACAUCGGAAUCUACUCUGUCGUGGGGGAUAACGUAGGGAAACUUACGCUAAUACCGCAUACGACCUACGGGUGAAAGCAGGGGAUCUUCGGACCUUGCGCGAUUGACUGAGCGGAUGUCGGAUUAGCUAGUUGGCGGGGUAAAGGCCCACCAAGGCGACGAUCCGUAGCUGGUCUGAGAGGAUGAUCAGCCACACUGGAACUGAGACACGGUCCAGACUCUUACGGGAGGCAGCAGUGGGGAAUAUUGGACAAUGGGCGCAAGCCUGAUCCAGCCAUACCGCGUGGGUGAAGAAGGCCUUCGGGUUGUAAAGCCCUUUUGUUGGGAAAGAAAUCCAGCUGGCUAAUACCCGGUUGGGAUGACGGUACCCAAAGAAUAAGCACCGGCUAACUUCGUGCCAGCCGCCGCAGUAA
rnacentral:rRNA from 1 species